rnacentral:rRNA from 1 species
UAAGGAAUAUUGGUCAAUGGACGCAAGUCUGAACCAGCCAUGCCGCGUGAAGGAUGAAGGUCCUCUGGAUUGUAAACUUCUUUUAUCUGGGACGAAAACGGGAUUUUUAUCUCAAUUGACGGUACCAGAGGAAUAAGCACCGGCUAACUCCGUGCCAGCAGCCGCGGUAAUACGGAGGGUGCGAGCGUUAUCCGGAUUUACUGGGUGUAAAGGGCGUGUAGGCGGUUUCUCAAGUCCGAUGCUAAAGACCGAAGCUCAACUUCGGGAGUGCGUUGGAUACUGUGAGGCUAGACGGUCGGAGAGGGGAGCGGAAUUUCCUGAGUAGCGGUGAAAUGCGCAGAUACAGGAAGGAACGCCAAUAGCGAAAGCAGCUACCUGGACGAUUUGUGACGCUGAGGCGCGAAAGCGUGGGGAGCAAACC